AUUGAACGCUGGCGGCAGGCUUAACACAUGCAAGUCGAACGAGUGGCGGACGGGUGAGUAAUGCUUGGGAAUCUGGCUUAUGGAGGGGGAUAACGACGGGAAACUGUCGUUAAUACCGCUUACCAUAGGAUGAGUCCAAGUGGGAUUAGGUAGUUGGUGUGGUAAUGGCCUACCAAGCCGACGGUUUCUAGCUGGUCUGAGAGGAUGACCAGCCAGACCGUGACUGAGACACGGCCCGGACUCCUACGGGAGGCAGCAGUGGGUAAUAUUGCGCAAUGGGGGCAACCUGACGCAGCCAUGCCGCGUGAAUGAAGAAGGCCUUCGGUUUGUAAAGUUCUUUCGGUGACGAGGCGUUAACCACAGAAGAAGCACCGGCUAACUCCGUGCCAGCAGCCGCGGUAAUAC
rnacentral:rRNA from 1 species